GUCGAGAAUCUUCCGCAAUGGGCGAAAGCCUGACGGAGCGACGCCGCGUGGAGGACGAAGGCCUUCGGGUUGUAAACUCCUGUCACGGGUUAAGAAUGGCGUAGUGUUAACAGCGCUACGAUUGACGUAAGCCCGAGAGGAAGCACUGGCUAACUCUGUGCCAGCAGCCGCGGUAAUACAGAGAGUGCAAACGUUGUUCGGAAUUACUGGGCUUAAAGCGCACGUAGGCGGCGCCGCAAGUGUUGGGUGAAAUCCCACGGCUUACCCGUGGAACUGCCCAGCAGACUGUGGUGCUAGAGGAUGGUAGGGGAGAGCGGAACUCCUGGUGGAGCGGUGAAAUGCGUAGAUAUCAGGAGGAACACCGGUGGCGAAGGCGGCUCUCUGGUCCAUUUCUGACGCUGAGGUGCGAAAGCUAGGGGAGCAAACGGGAUUAGAAACCCCAGUAGUCC
rnacentral:rRNA from 1 species